UACGUAGGGUGCGAGCGUUAAUCGGAAUUACUGGGCGUAAAGCGUGCGCAGGCGGUUUUGUAAGGCAGAUGUGAAAUCCCCGGGCUCAACCUGGGAAUGGCAUUUGGGACUGCAAGGCUCGAGUUUGGCAGAGGAGACUGGAAUUCCUGGUGUAGCAGUGAAAUGCGUAGAUAUCAGGAAGAACACCAAUGGCGAAAGCAGCUUUCUGGGACGGUACUGACGCUGAGACGCGAAAGCCAGGGGAGCGAACGGG
rnacentral:rRNA from 1 species